UUACUUCAACAGCACAUAUACUAAAAUUGAAACAAUACAGAAAAUAUUAGCAUGGACUCUGCCUCAUGUACUAAAAAUUUAUGAAGCAUUUUAUAUUAAU
rnacentral:snRNA from 1 species